GGACUAAUUGGUGACAACUGAAUUUGGAGGAUAAAUCUAGAGACAGAAGCUAUAACUUUGAUAGCGAAAACAAAGUGCACUGGUUUUACAGCACCUGCCACCUAGCUGUAAAAGAAGCAAAUCAAGCAACUUUCCUAACAAAGCAACCGCUGACAGUACUGGGCUCGGAACUAAAAUCCAAAAUUCGAGAAAAUUGCAUCCGCUUAACACAAGUUAUAUAUGUUCCAGCGCAAG
rnacentral:misc_RNA from 1 species